GACAGAGGGUGCAACCGUUGUUCGGAAUUACUGGGCGUAAAGCGCGUGUAGGCGGCUAUGCAAGUCGGGCGUGAAAUCCCACGGCUCAACCGUGGAAGUGCACCCGAAACUGCGUAGCUAGAGUCCUGGAGAGGAAGGUGGAAUGCUUGGUGUAGAGGUGAAAUUCGUAGAUAUCAAGCGGAACACCGGUGGCGAAGGCGGCCUUCUGGACAGUGACUGACGCUGAGACGCGAAAGCGUGGGGAGCAAACAGG
rnacentral:rRNA from 1 species